rnacentral:lncRNA from 1 species
ACACUGUUACACCCAUCACCAUGUUUCUCUACCCAGUGUUUCUCCUCUCUGCACAUGUUGCUCAGGCGUUCGGCGUCGCCGGCCUUCAAGCUGCUGCCGAACCUGCUGCUGGCAAACACCCUUCACUCAUCAAUCCCGGACUUGUCUUGUCAUCAUUACACCCACCUGGUUCCAAUCCCCACUCUAUCACUGUAUAUAUACUCCCUCUGUCAUUUGUCAUUGUAAAUGUUGCUUGUUUUCCUGAGAGGAAUCUCUUCUACUAUUUCCUGUGUACUUUAUUAUUUUGCACCUUUGGUUUUGUCCCGCUUUUACAAUUAUAG